ACAGGCUUUGAAUUUUGUUACUCCACAAUUCCAGUGAUGGUUACUGGGCUCCAGUCCUUGCUGUCUGUUGAGUGGUAUUAGUGUCCUGCCUCAUCACCUGAACAUUCUCCACAUUUCAGGGGUUAAAGAUGUAGUACACAUCAGAACUGAGUUUUUGUGCUGGGCAUAGUGGCUAAAGCCUGAAAUCCUUGUACUCAAGAGACUGAGGUGGGAGAUUUUCAUGAGUUCAAGGCUAGCCUGGAUUACAGGGUAAGACUCUAUCAUCAAAACCAAAAAUGGAACUCUCCCAAAGAACAAAAAGGAAACUGUCUGAAAUGAGAAUGUCAUGAAUCUAAAUCAAAGAUAAGAACACUUAGGGACCAGAAAAGGAAUCCAUAUGGCUAUUUUAGUUGCUUUUAACUGUUUUAGUAUUUUAGUUGCUUUUCAUUGCUAUGACAAAAUUUCUCAAGAAGAUAUGUAAGAGAGGAAAGACUUCUUCAGGCUCCCAUUUCCAGAAAUUUCAGACCAUUGUUGACUGGCACCAUUGCCCCAUGCCUGUGGCAAGGCAGAAACAUCAUGGCAUCAAGGCAUUCUGGUGAGAAGCUGCUUGCUGCAUGACCACUAGGAGCUAGAGCGAGAAGGGAGACAGUGACAAAACCAACCAUUUCACGGCAUACUCCUAGUGACCUCAUUCCUCCCACUCACUUCUUAGUUCCUCCUGUCUCCUAGUAACACCAUCAUUUUAAGACUCCAUCAUUGUUUAGAUAACAGCCCUUCUGGUCCAGCCACCAUUCAAUAAUGCCAUCAUCUGGGAAAUCCUCUAACAGGGUGACUCUCCAGAGAAAAUGGCAAUCUAAGGGGCAGCCCUGUGUCAGACUUAGAUGCUGGUCUUUGCUUAUGGUACCCACUCUGCAUCUCACACUGAUUCGUCCAGGGCUGCCUGAAGAAGUGGUCCAGGUAAAUAUUUGCCCUUGUCUGAGUACGUUAAUUCUGUUAGAAGUGUCAAACAGUUAAAAGGCCGAACCACAUAAGAGCUCUAAACAAAUCCACAAGGAAAGAAGAAGAGGCACCAGACCAGCAAGAUGGCUGAGUGGGUACAGGUUCUUCCUGCCAAACCUGAAGACCUGGCUUUUAUCCGCAGUACCCACACAGUAGAAGGAGAGAAUCGACUCCCGUAAGUAGUCCACAUGCAUGCUAUGAUGAUACGUGUAUAUGUGUGCAACAUACAUACACACAGAAAAUUAAAAUAAGAAAAAAAGCCACCACUGUUCACCGAGUCCAUGUGAGGAAGAUGUUCACAUUGUCUUACCCUACAGAAAAUUAACAAUAGUUAGUCUUGAGAUAAAUUGAAUUCAGUGCCCUAGUUAAUUGAGUCCUGUGUGCUAGCCUCUCCAAUACUCACUGAAUACAAAGAGCUCUCUUGCCCGUGGAAAGGCCAUAGAGCUAACUCGUGACCACCUCUGUGAAUUAGGAGGUUUUAGGAGAUCCAGGUGGGUGGGCAGUGCUGCUUUCUGAGGUAACAGACCUCCAGUGAGAGCCCUGUUCGCUGGCAAAGCAUCCAGUUUUGAUGGUAAAUAAGACACAAGACCUGCCAUCCACAGAGUCCCAGUCUAGCCAAGGGGAGAGACGUACACAAGAGAAAUCACAGCCCGAUUUUAUGGAAAGGAACCAAGAAGGUUCUUUGUGAAACAGUUUCUGACAUUGAAGGAUCUUGCCAGUUACAUGGUAACACAGUUACAUGGUAAGUUUAGCAGACUCAAGGUUUGGUUUUUUUUUUUUUUUUGUGACUGAGAUUAAGAGAAGAUAACAGAGAGGGUGAAUGCGACCAAAGUACCUUAUGUGCUUGUGUGGAACUUGCACAGCGGCAGCCAUUAUGUACAAUUAACACAUCGUAAUCACGUCUUUCAAAUAGUGCUAACUAUCUUCUUUCUCAUUAUUGCCUUUUCUUUUCCUAUUUCAGUGUCCUCCUGUCAGACACCGGGAUCAAAAUGAAGCCCACCCAAAUUCCUUUCUACACAUCUCAAUACUAGCAAAUGCCAGUUUGUAUUCUAGGUGAAAUGCGAUGUCUGCCUUAGACACCAUCAUCUCGUCCAUUCUCGCCUACUUCCUAACGAUCACAUGUGGUGCUGAACACAAGACCCUCACAGCUGAAAGAUGGUGGCUUUCCUGUUCCCAGUCCUCAUUUUCAUCUCAGAUGCUUGGCUCUUUCAGAACCUCACUAUGUAGCUUUGGCUGGCCUUGAGCGCACAGACCAGCCCUUCUUCUGACUACCAAGCACUGGAGUUCAGAGCCUGCACCACCUUGGCCUGGCUUCAUGUCCUUGCGGCUAAUGACGGCAGCAUGUGGCUCUGCUGGCAGUGUAUUCAGCAUCGAAUUGAACACCUCAAGAAAGGUGAGGAAAAUGAAGCAGAGAGAACUGAAAGAGCUCCCCCAAGACUGUGAGGCUGAGAAGUGCCUGGGGGUCUUGAAGUCCAGCACCAAUCCUGUAGAUCACUAUUCUGACUUCCUGCUGUCUAAAUCGGAAGAGUCAAAAGAUUCCCGGGGGAUUUCACAUGCAAAGGACACUUUAUGUUAUAGCCAGAGCUUCAGAUAUGUUAUGACCUCAGCUAGACAUUGGGACAGAAGGUGAUCUGUAAGUUGAAGGUGGCAUUUUCUCUGCCAGAUAAUUCCUCCCCAUAGCCUGUUACAUGAAUUCCUAAUAGGUCUUAUAAUAAAACACUCAGAGUCAGAUGUUGGGGUGAAUGCUGAAAGAUCAGAGGAAACAAAGGAACAAGCCACAGCCAUGUCUCACCUUGCCAACUCCAUGAAUCCUCUGACUGAAUGUCUCUGAGUCCUCAGCCAAAAGGGGAUCCAGCCAAAAAGUGCUUCAGCUGAAAAGCCUAGUUCCUGUCUCCUCACGUCUUAUAUACCUUUCUCCGCCCAGCCAUAUUACUUCCUUCCUAGU